AAAUUUUGAUCUUGAUUUUCUCUGAUCCAAUGAUUAGAGAGGGUGUUUCUCAGAUCACUCGUAGCCAUACGAAGUCAUCUGAUCUCUAUAGAAAAAUUCAUAUGGAGACUAACGUAGAUUAGGGGCUCGGAGAUGCUAGUCUGCAAACAACUUCGAUAGCUGACCUCUUUCUUCUUCUACAAGCAUCUUGGACACUCCAAAAUGAUAGGGGAUCUGG
rnacentral:lncRNA from 1 species